UGUUAACCCUCGACUCUAAGAACAGUAGGUUUCUCUCUCAAGAAAGAAUGUACCUUCUCUAGACAGCUUUCAGAUUUAGGAAAAUAAGCUCUGCUUAUGCAAAGAUGUUGGCAGUCCUAGCUAGCUCUUACCCACUCUGUUUAGGCUUUCUAACAAGACACCACAUGGCAAAUUAGGCAGUUAAAGAAAGUUUUCAGCUAAGUAGCUUACUGACAAAUUUGUCUGCUGUUUAAACUACACCUAAAAUAAGUAUUUUAGAAGUUACCCUGAGUCCAGAAGCUUGGAUAAAAUACAUUUUUCUCAGGGCAAAAUAUAAACGGAUAAAAUAACAACAUGUACACCAACCUCAGCCAUUGUUAGCAAUUCUCAAACCCUGCUAAAUGUUACCUAUCACCCUCUCCUGAUCUAUCAACUCUUCACAGCUUGGAAAUUUUGCAGCAAAACCUGCAUAGGUGAGGACCCUAGAAAAUAAGCAUAAGAACUAUUACCAAAAUCAAGGUCUCUUCUGUUGAAAACACCCUGUGUCUCAGCUUGCUUCAGCUAAACUGUGAGGUGUCUGCUUUCAUGCUUCAGGCAAUUGCAGUUGUCACAAAAUGACUCAAGAUGAUGUUGGCCUUUAAGAUAUUGGAGAACUUUAGCCGCUUUCUGUAAUGCUUCAAUUUGUGACAAGAAAUGAACUCAAAGUCAAUUUGUAAUGCGGAACACGGGGUUAAUCACUGUUUAACUGAUGGACUGGUUCACACAAGAAAAACAGCAUACUUGAAGAAACAAGGUGGUCCCAGCUGGCUCCUUAGAUGGAUGGUACUGCACACACUGAAAGCCACUCAGACUCUGCAGGCCAACCCUCUUCUGUGGCUUCUUCUACCAGGUAAGUAGGUUGCUGUCAUUGAUUAAAACAGCCCUGAAGCUCCUCGUUAGUUAUUGUUAAAUCACAGGCAUAGUAAAACAAAGGACUCCAUGCACCUUACUUGUGAAACUUGUUCACGUCUGCAGAGCCCAUUGCUGCCCUUGAUUUCUCUGUCCUACCCUUGAAAAAAGGGCUUCAACAGAAGCAGAAAAAGUAGGGUCAUACCCUUGCCAUUCCUAUCCUCUUCCCAUUGCUCCUCCACAGCCAGAUAGUAGUCCAAUCCUUCUCUUCACAGAACAGCUAAGGUCAGAAGGGGACUCUGAAGUUUGUCUGAUUCAACGUCCCCUGAAUCAAGCCACUCCAAGCAGGUUGCCCAGCACCACACCCAGCCAGCUUUUGAAGAUCUCCAAAGACUGAGACUCCAGAACAUCUCCAGGCAGCCUGUUCCUGUGUUUGACCACC
rnacentral:lncRNA from 1 species